CAGCGUAGCGUAGCCCGACGUCAAGGAAGUGAACAGAAGACAACAGCAACAUCAGCAGAAAUGAUUCGAAAAGUAAAGAAGCGACUUGAUCGAAACCCGCGUUGCACCCAUUGAAAUUCCAAAAAUUGCAAAAACUUACACCGCAACAGAAAAAAAUUAGACUCAAACGAGCUAAAGAGUUGCUUCGCUUGGUCGAAAGUAAUGAACUGCUGAAUUUGGUUUUCUCCGAUGAGAAAACAUUCGUUAUCCAGUAGUUUGUAAACAAUCAAAAUGAUCGUGUUUAUUUGCCAAAGAGGACAGCUGAAAAUGCGCACCUUCGAUUGCCCACCAGAACUCAAGCGCCAUGGUGAUGGUGUGGGUUGCCAUAACAGCCGAUGGUCCCUCGGCUCGUAUUAAUCGACCGUGUCAUCAGAAUAAAUGCCGAAUAUUAUCGCGAAAAUAUUCUGGAGGGUGUAUUAAAGCCUUGGGCAUGCAAACAUUUUGGCCGCAGACCUUGGAAUGUCCAGGACUCAGCACGCCCCACCCAAGAAUGGUUACAAAGUGAGGUUCGUUCCUCCCUUCAUUUCCAGCGCACAAUGGCCACCAAAAUCUCCGGAUACCAAUCCGUUAGACUAUUGUGUCUGGAAUAUUUUAGAAAGCAAGGUUGGCACUAAAAAAUAGGAAAGUGUCGAUCACCUCAAGCAAGCGCUUCGCCGGGAAUGGACCAAAAUAUCGCAGAGCAACAUUCGGGCAGCUUGUGACGGUCUCAUUGGCCUUUUGAAGGCCAUAUUUCGUGUCAAAGGUGACCAAUUCGAACAAAUCUAAAGUUAUUAUAAAUUUGAAAAAAAAAUAUAAAUA